rnacentral:rRNA from 1 species
AGAGUUUGAUCAUGGCUCAGGACGAACGCUGGCGGCGCGCUUAAUACAUGCAAGUCGAGCGGGAACUUCGGGCUUCGGCCUGGGGGGAGAGCGGCGAACGGGUGCGUAACACGUGAGAAACCUGCCUCGGAGUUCGGGAUAACCCAGGGAAACUUGGGCUAAUACCGGAUGCCCUCAUCGGAUCGCAUGGUCUGAUGAGGAAAGUUCCGGCGCUUCGAGAUGGUCUCGCGGCCUAUCAGCUUGUUGGCGGGGUAAUGGCUCACCAAGGCUAUGACGGUUAGCUGGUCUGAGAGGAUGAUCAGCCACACUGGAACUGAGACACGGUCCAGACUCCUACGGGAGGCAGCAGUGGGGAAUCUUGCACAAUGGGCGAAAGCCUGAUGCAGCAAUGCCGCGUGAGUGAUGAAGGCCUUCGGGUUGUAAAUCUCUGUCGGCUGGGAAAAACGGCUUUGCAAUUAAUAAUUGCAGAGAGUGAUGUACCAGCAUAGAG